CACUGAGCCUGGUUCAGAAAAAGACAUCUCCCAUUCAAACCUGGAAAAUGCUGAAAUCUCCCAUUCCAGAAGACCUCCUCGUCCAAGAUACUCAUGGAAUUGAAAGAAAUGUUACAGAAAACGUGUUUUGAUGGAGUGUAACCUUUCAGGCAGCUUUCCAGGAGGACUUCAUUACAGUGCCAUCAGAUUAUUUCUGAUAGAAUGACAAAAGAAGAUGGAUUUUCCUUGAGGCAGGCAGACUGAUGACACAUGUCUGUAUUCAGGUCGAUGCUUCAUUCUGUUCCACAUCCCGGACUGAGUCAGCUGUUGUUAGUCUACUGGUGAUUUGCAGGAGUAACUGCAACUUCUCCUCAGCCCACCUCAAGGACACAUACUCUGACACUGUCUUGAGAAGGGUGAAGGCGUCCAAGCCACUACUGACAGGCUCAGGUCUGUUUGACAGAGUGGCAGAUCCCUGUUGCUAUGGGAGGGAAUGUCACCUGCUGAAGAUGAGUAGGGGGUGGGCUUUCUUGAAAUGGUCAGUAAAGGGUUUACAGAGCCAGGUCUCUCAUCUGUGUCAAUGAGCGGAUGUUGCCAUGUUCUAAAACGCAGCAAUACAGUUGGCAUUUGACAUUAAGCUCAGUGAGGUCACAGGAAAGAGGUCACCAGCUGACAAUGAAAUAUUUAGUUGCUUUUCCAAUCCUACAGUGUUUCUGAAGUGCUGUUGUGUGUGUCCUAACCGGGUGUUGUACACAAAUCAUGAAUACAAAGAAACAGGUUUCAUGUCA